AAGCUUUUUCACAUCCUGCUGCUUAAUUAUAAAUCAUUGAUCUUGACAGGCUUUUGGGCAAUCUGCUGGUUUCCUGGAAAUGCCUCAGCUGAUCAUGAGGUUCAGCACUUCAGCACCAUCUCCUGCUCACAGCAAGUCACCUGCACUCUCUCGGUGUCACUGUGAUCUGCCUUCAUGAGAUCUGGAGGAGAUGCUCAGUGCCUCUGACUCUGUCGCUGCAGUCCCUUGUGGUGCAUCAAUGCCUCUACAGCAAGAUGUGCCUCAUCACAAUGGGCCUGCCUGGCAACCACUGGAAUGUCUGACCAUGGUCACCAUCGCUGGACCCAACACUGACCUGAGGAGUGAUUUCCAUGCUUGACCUCAGACCUUCCUCAUCCCUGGAGACUUGCCUAGCCAUCUAGACCCUGGCUGCUGUGCCAGGUGUGCCCUGCUUGCCUCACUCAGGUGUGGUGGCUGGUCCCCAGCCGUCCUGCUGGCUGUGUUACUGCAGCUGGCUCCUGGCCGCCAACCCUCAGGGAGCAGCCACUUCCACUGUGCCCUCACAGUGUCUGUUGUACCACAAAGCAAAUAAUGAACUAGGAUUCAUUUUUGUUUUGUUGGUUUAUUUGGGGUAGACAGAUUCUUGUCAGUUUGUUUUAGUAAAGUAGCUCUUUACUAUUGAAUAUUAUGGAAAUAUGGAAUAUUAUUCCACAACUCACUUGAGCUUUGGGUAGAAUUUGCUGCUGAUGGCCACCAUGACUUCUUCACUGUAUUUAUAAUCACUUUGGUUCCAAUUUUGCUGGUUUUCAUGCUGUUUCUAAAAAGCCUCUUUUUUCAGAAAAGACAAAUUUACUGUACUCCUUAACAUCUUCCAUGAGCUCCUCAGUAUUGCUGACAACCAUAGCCAGCUUUAAAAGUCAUGUUCCAGUAGCUUUUCAUAGGAUUUCGAUAUCUUGGGUUCUUUUUCUUUCAGGGACAAUUCAACAGGCUGAAGUGGUUCCUCAGGGCUCCAAAGUAGUGCAGGAGGGAUACAGAGCCAUUCACACCUUUGAAGUGGUGCUACACUCCCCUUGCUUUAGCAGGAAGUUUUAUAUGUUGGGUUCCACCAGAGGCCACACAGCGCUGCCAGGAUCUGUGCACAGGAUCCACAGUGCCUGUGCAAAUCUUUUUAUCUUAGGAGAUUAUAGGUUAUCUUAUAGGUUAAAUAGGUUAUCUUAUGAGAAGGAGCCACAGAAAUCAAUCCAGAAGCAACUGAUAUGUAAUCUCAACACAAUUGUUGCAGAGCCACUGACAGAUUACAACUUUACUGUUGGAUUCAGGGCCAUAUGGGGCCAGAUGUAAUGAUUGAUUAAUAAAAUCCUUCUGACAGGAAGACAUGCUUGGAGAAGCAGAUGCAGUAUGGAAACACAGUACCCGCUUUUCAUGGAAUCAUGGAAUGGUUGGGGUUGAAAGGGACCUUCAGUAUCAUCUAGUCCAACUCCCCUGCAUUGAGCAGGAACACCUUCAUCAGAUCAGACUGCUCAGAGUCCCAUCCAACCUGACCUUGAAUAUUGCCAGGCAUGGGGCAUAAACAGCUCUGGCUGGUGUGCCACAGUGUUUACACUUGGGCCAGCCUCUCCUGAAUUAGUUCUACUUGACAGCAGAUUCACCAUGUGAGUCAAGCUGCUGUGAAUUUUUGAGUGGUGGCCUGGGCAGCUGAUGAAUUUUUCAAUUCAACUGGCAGAAAAUGCCUUUAGUGCUGCAGUCAAAUAGAGCCAAAAGAACCUGGCAAUCCCACUGAGGAAAGUGCAAAACUUGAACAAAAAUUAAUUGAAAAUAAUGCUGAGAUUUGACUUUUAGGAGCCUCCUCAUCACCCAUACAAACUUCAGGUCCACUGGCCUAGUGAAUUGUCUUUAAACAGCAGAUUUCUUAAAUGACAGACAGCAAAAUGCUGCUUACAACCAACCCUUCCCCCUACCACUUCUUCACUUCCCUACUAAUGGGAGCAAUCCUAUGCAUGCUAACACCAGGGUCUCAUUACACGGUAGGCUGCCUAUGUGUCUGUUGCAUGCCUUAAUUCAAGUUUCAAAAUCUCCUUUGUCCUGCCUAAACCAGGUUGGUCUAGGACUAAAACCUGUGUUUCCCUUAUUUCUGCUGCAAUUAGCAUAAAUUCACUCCCACAGCAACAAGAUCAACGUGACAUGGUACACGUCAUUUGAUGGCCAGCCUCCCUUCACUGGAUUUUACAGUGUCAAAUUCAGCAGCAGAAUAAGCUACUUUUGCCUACAAGCUCUUGACAUUCACAGUAGAUUCUUAUUCUCUCCAGCAGUCUUCUUGGAUGUGGUGGAAUUGAUCUGCUGAUUUGAGGAUCUGUGUGGCCUUGUGAUAGCGCUACUGCCUUGUGUAUUUCCCUUACAAAUAUCCAUCACAGAUACAGACAAAAUGUCCUAGUUAUUAUACUUGCCAUGUGAUAUCUGGACAUCUGCCACCAUCCUUUCUGGCCUUGGAAAAGUUGCUGGGAUGGCUGCUGGCCUGGCAGUUGCAUCCAUCAUCUUGAUGCAGACGGGAAGCAGCCUCUCUGGGCUGCCCAUGUGGUGUACACCAGCAGCUGGUACUGGCAGGAUGACGUUCUUGUGGCCAGCUCAGCCCAGGGGGCUGCUACUGACAGAUGGUUCACAUCCAGGCAGAGAUGUCAGCUCCCCUUAAUCCAGCAUUCAGGUGAAAAAAGGCAGCCAAUUUGAAAAGAACUUUUAAAUGUGAAGAAAGAGGCCAAUCACCACAGGUAAACCCCUUUGCAUGGCUUCAGAAACAAUAAAUUAAUCUGGAUGUAACUGUGUUUUACUGAAUCACAGGGAGAUCCUGGGAUGUUGGCAAGGACUUCAGUCAUCUUUGGUGACCCCAUGUCUGCUGCUGCUGCUGCAAGUUGAUAAUAUUCAGUUUUUAAUAUCAAGCCACUUUAAAGAUGUCUCAGACAUGACUAUACUGGGAACAUGGAAAGAUAUUAAUUCCUAAUUGAAGGUCUUAUCAAUAUACUUUCUGGGCUAAGAAAUGGGAAGCUUAAUGCAAAGACUUUCCUAGGACAUUACAUAUUUUGACAUUUUCUACACACAUGACCACUAAAAGAAAAAAAACCUCAGAAAAUAGUGAAAAUAUGGGUAAGCCAUAAAUGCAGAAGUGCCUCUUUACUCCCCUGCCACAGUUAGGUUUUGGGACCACUUACCAGGCCUGAAGAUUGGAGGCUGCACAGCCUCUUUAAUUGUGACUGAUAUUUGACCCAAUGUGCUCUCCUUUGGCACUAUGAUAUAUAUGAGGCCACACCACAGACUAGAGACUUUCAUGGUGUUUUUUUUCAACUUUGAACAACUUUACCACCAAGGCCACUUCUAUUUAGGUCAUUCUAUUUAGACCUUUUUUUUACUGGACAUGGAGACAUAAAAAUAGGACCACAGAGAAAACCUGCAAGUCUACAGUGAUAUUUUUUAUUUAUUACUGACACAUAAGGAAUAGGCUGGGAUUAGUGAGCUCUUAGGCUAAGCAUUAACAUGCUUGCCAAAA